UAUCACCGGUUCCUGUGGGAUCACAAAAGUCAAGCAACGUCGAGCCUGGUCAGUACCUAGAUGGGUGACCGCUUGGAAAUACCAGGUGCUA